GCCAAGAGAGUGAGGAGAGGAGGAACCCAACCGAGAGAGAGAGGUAAGAGAGGCGGUGGUCGUGCGGGAGAGAGAAGGCAUGCGGCCGGGUGCAGUCGGCCGCGUGGAAGAAGAAGAAGAAGAAGUUGUCGCGGGGGUGGAGGAGAGCCAUCGAGACGCCGGGAUUCCGCGCGCGUGGGGCGGACACCGCCUGCGUGAAGGGAGAUCUUCUUCUUCCUUUCAAGCGGACGAGCCGGCGGAGGAGAGGGAGUGCGAGAGAAGGGACGCCGGAAGAAAGUUUUUUUCGCGCGCGUGAAGCAGAACCGGAGCCCGACCGAAUCGAUAGAGGGUCUCUCAGGAGAAGAAUCGCUCACCUGGACUUGGUGAGCUGAGAGGAAGUUCAUCGGGUCCCGGGACCCGACUCUAGUGAAGAAAAAUCCACGGGAAAUCACUAUGCCCUCGUCUAAAAUAUCCACCUAAUGAAGGAAGAUUCCAAUCUCUACCACCAUCAUCUCUAGGAAAGCAUGAUUUCAUAAUUUCUUCAUUACUGUAUUUGUAAAUGCAAGGGAAACUCCCCUUGCCCUUCCACAAUGUAGAAGACAAUCAUCAUAAGUCUUGGUUGAUGCUUGUCCUGAUGUUGAAUUCAAAAGUUCUGAUAUCUCCUGCCAUUUACAAAGAAAAUCCGAAACCUCACUAUCUCUAACAAUUGAAUGUUGGAAACUUAUUUUAUAAUAACUAUAUAAAUCUCUAAUAUUUGAAUGUUGAGACUUAUUUUAGAAUAACCAUGUGAAUCAGAAAAUGUAAUCCAAUAGGUUGGUUGUUCAUAUGUUUCAUUGGAAGGUAGUAUGACAAAAACUUAAGAACAUAAAGAAGAAAGGAGUGGCACUAGUAGCAAAAUAACAAACAAUAUUUCAUCAAAAACUGCCAUGUUGUAUAUGGCCUUUAGUUCCUGAAUCAAGUGGUGAAUUCCCACAGCCACCAAAAUUUUUAAUGCCAAAAGAACAAGUCAGAAACAGGUCAGCAGAACUAAGUAUGACUUAGAAGAUUAUUUAGCACCUACCUUCCAAUUUCCCCCCUCUUUCAUUGUGAAAAAGAAUAUGAGAAAAAAGAAAAAGACACCCUGAACAUGACAACACAAAGAACUGUCUUGAAGAAACUAAAGAUGAGAAGCACCACAACAGAGUUGAAAAAACUUGAAAAGAGAUACCUAAUUUCCAGUUAGGUUCUCAAAUCAUGACUAAAUUUUUAACCAAAAUUUCUUUAUUCAACACAGCAAACUUAUGCAAGCUGAAAUAUUUUGCAUUUUGAGCAUUUUCAAUUCAUGAAGACAACUUAUUUCUUUUGCUUUUUCUCAUUCUUUUUUACAAUGAAGGAACAUACCUUUUAGAAGUAAUUUACUAGAUUCUUGAAGUUUCUCGUGCACUUGUGUUGCCUUCUAAGAUUUGGUAGACUUCCAUAAGUAGUUUAAAAUAUUAUUGGUUGCGAAAACAUCAGUUUCAAUUUGCAAGAUUCUUGCAAAUAAAGCAUAAUUUCAUUGCAGAUUUAUUUUGAAGAAAGCCAUCAACAGGACAACUGAGUUCAUAUACAGAUAAUUUUAACAAACUCUACUGCUUUAAGUACUUGUAGUAAUAGCAGAAAAUAUUAAUAUUCCAAAUCAAGAAACCAUAAACAAGAAAGUUCAUACAUCUUCGUUUCCUCCAUUGAACUAACAGUUUUUAUGGAAACGAAUUAACUUUUAAUUAAAGACUAAGCAAAAAGGAAUUUAAUUACCUUCAAAGAUUGAGGAGGAAUUGCAUUUGUUUGAACAUUAGCAAUGCAUGUAAAUGACUUUUGAAGCAUUGGCAGAGCUCCCAUGGAGGCAGCCAUGGUUUCCACCUCCCGCUGCUUGGUGGAUACCACCUUCUCUGUUGAAGAUGUUCCCAUUAUCGGUGUUCUCGGAAGAAACAAUAAUCGAGUUUUCCAACUGAAAGUUUGUAGAAUCUUUUUCUCUCUCUGUUUGGUUAUCGGGAAAAUGGAUGAGUAGAUUAAAAUUCACCGUUUUUCUCAGUAUGUAUACUUAAACUAGCUGUUUUAAUUUUUAAUUUCAAGAUUUAAUUAUCUAAAUUAAAAUAUAAAGAUUAAUUUUGAAUUUGUGAAAAUUUUAAUAUUUAAUGCAUUUAAAAAAAGAUUGCUAACAUUAUUUCAAAAAAAAAAAAGAUUGCUAACCUGGUUGAUGCUUAUAUGGGAAGUUUUAAGUAUAUAUAAUGAGGAAAACGGUGAGUUUUAAUAUUGUUAUACUUGAUUAAAACGGUAUCAAUUCAAUCUUCCCAUCCACUUUCCCGAUAACCAAACUGAGAGAGAAAAAGAUUCUAUCAAAAUUUCAGUUGGAAAACAUUAUUGUUUCUUCUGAGAACACCAAUACUGGGAACAUCUUCUUCCACAGUGAAGGCGGUACCCGCCAACCAGCGGGAGGUGGAAACCAUGGCUGCCUCCACGGGAGCACUGCCUAUGCUUCGAAAGUCAUUUUCAUGCCUUGCUGAUGUUCAAACAAAUGCAAUUUCUCCUUACUCUUUAAAGGUAAUUAAAUUCCUUCUUUCUUAGUCUUUUAUUAAGUUAAUUCGUUUCCAUAAAAACUGUUAGUUCAGUGGAAGAAACAAAGAUGUAUGAACUUCCUUAUUUAUGGUUUCUUGACUUGCAAUAUUAAUAUUCUCUGCUAUUACUACAAGUACUUUAAGCAGUCGGGUUUCGUUAAAGUUAUCUGUAUAUUUACUCAGUUGUCCUGUUGAGGCUUUCCUCAAAAUAAAUCUGCAAUGAGAUUAUGUUUUAUUUGCAAUGAAUUGAAAAUGAGACUUUUUGCAAUCUAUAAUAUUUUUAAACUACUUAUGGAAGUCUAUCGAUCUCAGAAGGCAACUGCAAAAGAACUUUCAAGACUUUUGUCUUUCUAAAGUUUCAAGUUUAUCAUGAUUUGAUAGGAUUGGAAUGAACAUCUUCAAAUUCUACAUACAAUUGAUUUUUAAAAUGAAUUCCAUAAUCUAAAUGAUAAGGACAAUUUAAAAUGUAUUUAAUCUAAACUAUUUUUGUGAAAUUUAUUUGUCUCACAGACAGAACAAACAGUGUAACUUACUAUUGUAAUUCUCUUUCUCCAUGUAUUUGUCAAAUUGAACUUUUAUUUUUUGUAUUCAGUCUUUUUUGGUUCUUUUCUUCUGUGCCAUCAUAUUUAUUUAAGAAAUCCUUCAAUUUAAGCUGUAAAUUGCCUAUUUGGUUCUUUUCCUUUUCUCAUAUUCUUUUUCACAUUGAAAGAGGUGGGGAAGAGAGUUGGGAGGUAGGUGCUAAAUAACUUUCUAAAGUCGUAUUUAGUUCUGUUGACCUGCUUCUGACUUGGUUCUUUUGGCACUCAAAAUUUUGGUAGCUGAUGGGAAUUCGACACUUGAUUCAGGACCUAAAGGCCAUAUACAACUUGGCAGUUUUGGAUGAAGUUUUGUUUGUUAUUUUGCUACCAGUGCUAUGCCAUACUAUCUUGCAAUGAAACAUAUGAACAACCAACCUGUUUAUAUCAGUCUGUUCUCUUCCUAUCUGGUUGGAUUACAUUUUCUGAUUCACGUAGUUAUUCUAAAAUAAGUCUCAACAUUCAAAUGUUAGAGAUUUAUAUAGUUAUUAUGAAAUAAGUUUUUCACAUUCAAUUGUUAGAGAUAAUAAGAUUUCGGAUUUUCUUGGUAAAUGGCAAGGAGAAAUCAGAAAGUUUGAAGUCAACAUCAGAACAAGCUUCAACCAAGAGUUAUGAUGAUUGUCUUCCAGACUGUGGAAGGGCACGGGCAUUGUACCUUACAUUUACAAGUACAAUGAGCGAAGAAAUUCUGAAAUCAUGCUUUCCUAGUGACCGCAGAGAUGAGAAUCUUCUUUAUCGUUGGUUGUGCACAGAUGUCACUUUUACAUCUCAGUAUCCUGCUUGUGCUUUCACUAUCAGUCAUCAUGUGCUCAAUCCCUUUCAGGACUAUGUACAGAUGUCACUUUUACAUGUCUUCUCUUCACGGGAGGCGUUUGAACAGAUUCUGGUCUAAUAUUGAAGGUUAUCAUGCCCCAUUGGGUACUUUAGUUUCUGCCAGUUCUGCUGAUGUCCAUGAGAAUAGUACCACAGAGAGGAAUGGAUGAUAGGUGUACUUAUUCAUCAGGGUCUUGAAAGCAAGGCAAUUUCAAAUUUCUAGAUGUCAGUAACUUGAAUCUUUGUGAAACUGAUUAAUGUUAGCAUUGUCAGGGAAGGAGAUAAAUUGUGUACGGCCAUUUGCAUCCUGCUGUUAGAGUUUACGAGCCACAUCCACGACCUGUUGGAAUUGCAUUUCGAAGAAAAAUUAAAUAGUAUUUGAGCAUUGUCUUGUUCUUAAUGCAAUGAUUUUGGACUAAUUUGAUCUUGGAUCUCA